rnacentral:lncRNA from 1 species
CGCGCGUAGUGGCGGCCUGUGAGGUGACCGCCUCGUCCUCCGGAUUCUCUGAGAGGUGUGCGGUGUGGACCCGCCCCUGGCACCUGGGCGUGAGUCCCGGGUUGUGACGGUACGUGAGUCCGUGAGGCCCAUUUUGUGCCAUUGUAUCUUCUGAGGCCCUGUGUUUGUGAUUGUGUUUUGCGUGUGUGAGCGGGAAACACCGGGGUUGAGUGUGUAUGCUCGUGCCCGCAGGUGUGUCGUCUCCGGCUGCUUUGGCACCACGGCAGAGGUGAGCCUACAGAACCUUAAAUUACCGUCUGACUCUGGAUGACCCUGUGUGUGUGUGUGUAGAGGACCACAGAAACCGAAUGGGUGUGUGCACAGAAACCACCGUUUGUGCAAGCGUAUGUUUGUGUGCGUGACACCACGGUGACUAAUUUUGUGGAGACUCUGUUUUUGCGUUUUUAUAGGCGUGUGUGUACAAUCCUGACUGCAGUCGCAGUGUGGACUCUCCCCGCCGUCGAACAAUGACCCCACUGGCGUGUGCUACGAUCCACCCUAAUUCUGACCCUAUCUCGCUGGCGACGGCUCCGCCCCCAGGACGGCGCUCACCCCCCUCCCCCACCGGACCCCAGUUCCAGGUCUGUAGGUCAGAGUUUAUGGGGACCCUCCUCCGAGGGCUUAAUAUGCCAAGGGCGGAUCACAGACCUGGGAGAGGCGUCUUACUUACCAGUCACCAGCGUUACAAAAGGACGUAACCCAGAAAUGGCCCUGGAAGAGUUGCACAGGGUGAAGCUUCCACUCUUGCAGCGCCUCCACGCGUUCACCGACCCGGAAGCGCUCUGAACCGCGUCCUUUUUCGGAAGAGGCUACACCGCAAAGGCACGGUGGAUGAAACCAUUGGCCAAUGGUGAUGGAACUCAAUUUCCAGCCCCUCUCCCUGGCACCGAGGUCAGGGGGUGGGAUUAAAAGUUCUAACCCUCGCCCGCUGGCUUGGUUCCCCUGGCAACCAGCCCCACCAAAGGAGUUUCCCUCGAUUUCCUGCUCGUUAACAUAACAAAAGAGAGCCUUUCCUCUCAGCGCUUAGGAAAUUCCUAGGGUUGGGGAGCUCCAGGCCGGGAAGGGGCGAAGAACAAAUACCUGUUUCUUACUACACAGCACUACAUCGCACCACGUGUGGGGGAAACCCUGGGUUUGUGGUGGUGCCCUCUGGGACUAGGUACUAAGAAUAAAUGUGUAAGGCACUAGUUUCUGCAUUCCCAGUUGUGUGACAAGGUGGUGGUGAUCAUCAAAAUAGCAGCUAACGGGUAUUAGGACUUUGACUACCACCACUGCUAGCAGCUGGCACAUUGCUUCCCCAGGUCAAAAGUGUCAUUUCCACUUAAAGUUUUAUUUAAUCCUUUUAACCCUACUGUUGUUUCUACUGAGCUCUCUGGUCUCCAGGUGCAUAAACGGAGGCACAGGGAGGUCAGGUUAACUCACCCAAGGUCACACAGCUAGUAAAGAUCAGAGCGUGGUUUUGAACCCGGGUCUUGCUGACUCCAAAACCCCUGCUCUUUGCACCCCUUCGGGUUUUUUUUUCCCCGGAGCAAGCUGCUUCUUGAACUGGGAGAUUCGUCAGUACCUGGUGGUGCUGGCGGUACCUCUGCUGACACCUGGAAGCUAGCACCUGCUGUCUGGGAAGGUGCUUUCCCUACGGAAUUCACUGUGGGGUGGGCAUCCACUGGCCAAGAGGCUGCUAACUGAAUUCAGGAAUGAAUGCAUGGAUAAAUGAAUACUGCUAGUUUAGGCAUACAGAACUGAGGCUCGAAGACAUUACACUGUUUCUUGACAAGUGAAAUUUUGGGAGCCAAGGUUCAAACCAGAAAUUUCUGACACAAAGUCACAAUGAUAUUCCAGAGCUUUAUCUUAAGCCAUUUUUGUCUAUUUCAUUUCACUUAUUCUUUUAUUUAUCCAAUAUUUUAGUUUCUAUUACGUACCAAGUAUUUUGCCAAGUGGAUGUAAAAUGAUAGAAUCAUAACAAAAUAGAGGUGGUCUCCAAAGUCAUGGAGAUCACAGUAAAAUAAACGGCCCUUACAGUAAAUAAGCAAAUAGAAGUAGAGUACAACAUUCAUAUAACACACUGUAAUUUAAGAAUAUUCUGAUAGUUUAUCCAUUAUGUCAUCACAUAAGAUGGUUUGAAAGAAUUUCAUGCAAUUUAGAUAAUGUGGGUUUUUGUUUUUUAGAGAGAGAGACUAUCUCAAGCAGUCUCUGCACUGGGAGUCUGAUGAGGGUCUCAAUCCCAUGACCCUGACACCAUGACCUGAGCGGAAAUCAAGAAUCGGAUCCUCAACUGAUUAUGCCACCCAGGUGCCCCUAUAAUUUUGAUGUUCAUUUUUAACUUUGUUUUGAAAUUGUACAAAUUUCAUAAUUAUCAUUCAUGUUUUCCUUUUUACCCUAGAGUUAUUUAAUGGAAAUGUUUUAUAAUUUCCUGUUGUAAGCAUCCUUUAUUUAGGUUUUCAUGUUCUCCUUUAAAUCUCUUCAUUUCUUGCAUUGUGAGCAUAAAUGACACUUGUAAUUUCAAUUUUUGGACAUACUGAUGCAUCCUUUGUAACCUAACCGAAUAUAUGGUCAUUUAAAAAAGAUUCUGUUCCUCACCCUGAAUAGGAAAAUUUUGAAGAAAUAAAGGCUGAGAUAGGCUGUCCCAAAGGUUUCCCUGGGAAGGCUAUUAAUCCUUGGUCAGAUCCCGGGAAGUCAGGAGAAAUCAUGGCAGCCCAGCCAGGCUCCACCUUUUGGCCUACACGAACAUCCUUCAAUAUAAACUUGCUCAGGAAAGCAGCACUGAGAAGAAACAGACCAAGUUGUUAACAGUGGCCAUCUACAUAGAAUAUCAAUUAUUUUCAGGGCACCUGGGUGGCUCAAGUGUCGGUGGCUCAAGUGUUGGUUAAGUGUCGGACUCUUGAGUUCAGCUCAGGUCAGGAUCUUACAGUUUGUGAGACCGAGCCCCACAUGGGGCUCUGCGCUGAUAGUGAGGAGCCUGCUUGGGAUUCUCUCUCCCUCUCUCUGACCCUCCCCCACUGUCUCUCUCAAAAUAAAUAAGCUUUUUUUAAAAAAUCAAUUAUUUUCAAUAUUUAUCUUGAUAACUUACAUUACCCCCAGUUUUCUAAAAUAACCAGUUAUCUGGGUGGCUCAGUUGGUUAAGCCUCCAACUCCUGGUUUCAGGUCAGGUCAUGAUCUCACGGUUCGUGAGUUCAAGCCCCACAUCCGGCUCUGCACUGAUAGCACAAAAUUUUCUUGGGAUUCUGUCUCCCUCUCUCUCUGCUCCUCCCCUACUCGCUCUCUCGCUCUCUCUCAAAAAUAAAUAAAUAAACAUUUAAAUAAAAUAAGCAGUUAUCACUCUUCCCAAUGGUAAACCCAGACCACAUUAAUAAGGCUAAAUAGUGGGAAGUCACACUUACCCAUUUACCACAAUUCUAUCUGAUAAUAAAUAAAUUACCUUUCCUCUAAGUGUAAUGACUUAGCAGAAGCAAAAGUGAUUGGAACCAUUUAAGAGCUUUGGGUCCCCUAAUCACUGAUGGUUCAGUUCCUCCAGUUGGACUCCCUCCUACAGAAACCAAAUGCCAGGCACAGACCUGGGCUUCUCCCAAGCCUAGCCCUGCUGGAGCAAUCAGGGUGACUUCCCAGCUGCUCCCACGAAGGCAGCCCCAGGGAAGGAGCCACAGUUAUUGGAGAAAGUGGUUAAAACUGCAACAGCAGCAGCUCUGGGGAGUGCAGGGCAAGUCAGCAGGUGGCAAAGGAGGCAUGACACCCCUCCUUCCAACCCACUGUCUGUGGGGCAAAGCACAGGGAGAGGAACUGUGCUCAUAGCCCAGGAAACCCAUCAUUCAGUGUCAUCCUCAGAUGUUACUAGAACAUGCAAGCAGACAACUGAGUAUUCAGGAAGCAUGAGAUCCUUUCUCUGGAACUUGAAAGAGAUGGCCCAUUUCCCCAUGCUCCCCAAAGGAGAGAUUCAACAAUAGCACCCUUUUCAUCCAGAGGGAUGAAAUGGAUUCUGGAGAGAAUGAACAAGCAUAGAUGGUAUUUGCAGUACUGUUUUCCUGAUGGCAGGAAUAAUGGGCAGUUUGCGUCUUGUUGCGCAUAGCUGAAUAACUGACUUCUUAUUCACCAUUGCCAUUUUCAUGUGUGUGGUGCAUUACUAGCACAUUACAUCACAUUACUAGUCCUAGACUGACUCCUGGCUUGUGGUUGGCGCUCAGGAGCCAAAGUGGAUGUAUAGAUGUAUAGAUACACCAGUGGUUCUAAACCUCAGGGGCCACAAGGCAAAAUAUGAAGAUAUUUUUGCUUGACACAGUUUGGGGAGGGGUUCUAUUCUACAGCCUCUAGUGGGUGGAGGCCAGGGGUACUGCUAAACAUCCCACAAUGGACAUGACAGCUCUCUCCUGAAGUUACCCUGCCAGAAUCUCAACAGUGAGGAGGCUCACAGCCCUGCUUUACAUAUAUAAACUUAUGUCCCACAAAACUUUUCAAUGGAUUCACAGUUCUACAUUUUGCAAUAUACUCUAAUUUAGCCAAUCCCCUUAACCAUUCGUGCCUUUUCUCUUUUAAAUAUACUGGCAUUACCUCUUGUGUGUUAAUCUGGUAAGCAGCUGCCAUCUCUGUUUCUAUUUUCUUCUUGGGUCUACCCAGGAAGAAGGUGGAGGUCACAGGCCUGCAGCACGUUUUAAUGUCCUUGGGGUUUCGGGGCUCUCCCAAAUACAUAGAUGCCCUAAGUUCAGCCAUUUUCUUGGGGUUUUGUGCUUCACUCAAAGCUCAUGGCUAUGGGAACAGACACUCCGCCCUUAAUUAAAACCUCUAGGAGAGCAUCAGGGGGGCUCAGUCGGUUAAGCGUCUAAGUCUUCAGUUUGGCUCAGAUCAUGAUCUACGGUUUGUGAGAUCGACCCUGCAUUGGGCUGUGCAGUAGCAGCACAGAGCCUGCUUGGGAUAUUCCCCCCCCCCGCCACUUCCCUGCUUGAGCUCUUUCUCUCUCUCUCAAAAUAAACAAACAGGAGCAUCAGUCAUCUGGUUCUUCAAAGCCGAUGACUACAGCAAGGACCCAAGAGAAAGAC